rnacentral:rRNA from 1 species
AGAGUUUGAUCCUGGCUCAGAACGAACGCUGGCGGCAGGCUUAACACAUGCAAGUCGAACGCCCGCAAAGGGGAGUGGCAGACGGGUGAGUAACGCGUGGGAACGUGCCCUUCGGUUCGGAAUAACUCAGGGAAACUUGAGCUAAUACCGGAUACGUGCGAGAGCAGAAAGAUUUAUCGCCGAAGGAUCGGCCCGCGUCCGAUUAGCUAGUUGGUGAGGUAAUGGCUCACCAAGGCGACGAUCAGUAGCUGGUCUGAGAGGAUGAUCAGCCACAUUGGGACUGAGACACGGCCCAAACUCCUACGGGAGGCAGCAGUGGGGAAUAUUGGACAAUGGGCGCAAGCCUGAUCCAGCCAUGCCGCGUGAGUGAUGAAGGCCUUAGGGUUGUAAAGCUCUUUCGCCAGGGACGAUAAUGACGGUACCUGGAUAAGAAGCCCCGGCUAACUUCGUCCAGCAGCCGCGGUAAUACGAAGGGGGCUAGCGUUGUUCGGAUUUACUGGGCGUAAAGCGCACGUAGGCGGAUUUU